AAAGUUUGUAAAGAUAUGUCGAGGCGUUAAGGGUCAACAAAAAUUUGAAAUUUGUGUGUCUAGCAUUAUUUCAUCCUUAUUAGUACAUAGAUAUUCGUCGAGCAAAGCUACAUAACUCAUAUAUAUUUGAAACUUUGUAAACUAUGUGUUCACUACAUAUUGUACUAUGGCUGUUAUCUUUAUUAAAUAUAUCCAAUAUGAAAACAUAAAGCCAAAAUAAUAAAGGAUGCAUUUUUUUAUGAUAUUUGAAAUUUAUUUAAAACCAAAUCAAAACAAUAUCCUGGGGAUUAUCACAAUUCGGAAAGACAGGAAACUCUAUGCCCAAACACACAAGAUGAAUUUAAUACAGACCUUGCAGUUGAAAUUUGAAGGAUCAGAUGAUAGCUGUGCAAGCCUAACUUAACUUUUAAAAUAUUUAUAUCUUUGUAGAGACAAAUCCGAGUCGUUGCUCGACAAAUGAGAGGAACUUAUGAAUUUUGUUUAAUUUAUUUUGAAUAUGAUUGCAUAAUAAAUGGACUCCAAAGUAUUCUUAAUAUAGUAUUAUAUAUUGUAUAUUCACAUUUUUUUUAACAUACUUAAAAUUUUUAAUGUAUUUUUAUUCGCAUAAUAACAAUGUCAUAUAAUUUAAUUCGCUAAAGU
rnacentral:lncRNA from 1 species